UCCUGGCUCAGAAUGAACGUUGGCGGCGUGGAUUAGGCAUGCAAGUCGAGCGCUCAUAGCAAUAUGGGAGCGGCGAACGGCGUAGGAAUUCAUAGGAACGUACCCUCAGGUCGGGGAUAGCUACGGGAAACUGUAGGUAAUACCCGAUGAUCUCUGCGGAGCAAAGGUGUGAUUCCGCCUGAGGAGCGGCUUAUGUGAUAUUAGCUAGUUGGUGGGGUAAUGGCUUACCAAGGCGAAGAUGUCUAGGGGGUGUGAGAGCAUGGCCCCCACGACCGGAACUGAGAUACUGUCCGGACACCUACGGGUGGCUGCAGUCGAGAAUCUUCCGCAAUGGACGAAAGUCUGACGGAGCGACGCCGCGUGCGGGGAUGAAGGCCCUUGGGUUGUAAACCGCUUUCGGAGGGGAUGAAAUCCUCGAGGGUACUCCCUCGAGGUUGACAGAGCCUCAAAAGAAGCACGGGCUAAGUACGUGCCAGCAGCCGCGGUAACACGUACUGUGCGAACGUUAUUCGGAAUCACUGGG
rnacentral:rRNA from 1 species